GUGGGGAAUAUUGGGCAAUGGGCGAAAGCCUGACCCAGCAACGCCGCGUGAAGGAAGAAGGUCUUCGGAUCGUAAACUUCUAUCCUUGGUGAAGAUAAUGACGGUAGCCGAGAAGGAAGCCCCGGCUAACUACGUGCCAGCAGCCGCGGUAAUACGUAGGGGGCAAGCGUUGUCCGGAAUGAUUGGGCGUAAAGGGCGCGUAGGCGGCCUGGUAAGUCUGGAGUGAAAGUCCUGCUUUUAAGGUGGGAAUUGCUUUGGAUACUGUCGGGCUUGAGUGCAGGAGAGGUAAGUGGAAUUCCCGGUGUAGCGGUGAAAUGCGUAGAGAUCGGGAGGAACACCAGUGGCGAAGGCGACUUACUGGCCCAAUACUGACGCUGAGGCGCGAAAGCGUGGGGAGCAAACAGGAUUAGAAACCCUGGUAGUCC
rnacentral:rRNA from 1 species